AUCUAGCUGAAAAGUCCCAAAUUAGACGAAACGCGCGUCCUGGAU
rnacentral:hammerhead_ribozyme from 1 species